rnacentral:rRNA from 1 species
CCUACGGGUGGCUGCAGUGGGGAAUAUUGGACAAUGGGCGAAAGCCUGAUCCAGCCAUGCCGCGUGUGUGAAGAAGGCCUUCGGGUUGUAAAGCACUUUCAGUGGGGAAGAAAGCCUUGGGGCUAAUACCCUCGAGGAAGGACAUCACCCACAGAAGAAGCACCGGCUAACUCCGUGCCAGCAGCCGCGGUAAUACGGAGGGUGCGAGCGUUAAUCGGAAUUACUGGGCGUAAAGCGCGCGUAGGCGGUCUGAUAAGCCGGUUGUGAAAGCCCCGGGCUCAACCUGGGAACGGCAUCCGGAUUGAAAGGAGAGAGGAAGGGAGAGGGGGGUAGAAUCCGAGGGGGAGCAGUGAAAGGCGGAGAGACGGGGAGGAAGAAGAGUGGAGAAGGGGGCCUACUGGGUAAACAGUGACGCGGGGGUACGAAAGAUUGAGGAGAAAACAGGAUUAGAUACCCCAGUAGUC